rfam:Amazona aestiva scaffold_1371, whole genome shotgun sequence.
CCAAAGGCUCUUUUAAGAGCCACUCCAUGCACAUUGAAAGGAGCUG